AUUGAACGCUGGCGGCAUGCCUUACACAUGCAAGUCGAACGGUAACAGGUCUUCGGAUGCUGACGAGUGGCGAACGGGUGAGUAAUACAUCGGAACGUGCCUAGUAGUGGGGGAUAACUACUCGAAAGAGUGGCUAAUACCGGAUGAGAUCUACGGAUGAAAGCAGGGGAUCGCAAGACCUUGUGCUACUAGAGCGGCCGAUGGCAGAUUAGGUAGUUGGUGGGAUAAAAGCUUACCAAGCCGACGAUCUGUAGCUGGUCUGAGAGGACGAUCAGCCACACUGGGACUGAGACACGGCCCAGACUCCUACGGGAGGCAGCAGUGGGGAAUUUUGGACAAUGGGCGCAAGCCUGAUCCAGCAAUGCCGCGUGCAGGAUGAAGGCCUUCGGGUUGUAAACUGCUUUUGUACGGAACGAAAAGCCCUGGGUUAAUACCCUGGGGUCAUGACGGUACUGUAAGAAUAAGCACCGGCUAACUACGUGCCAGCCGCCGCAGUAACAC
rnacentral:rRNA from 1 species